rnacentral:tRNA from 1 species
GGCGCGGUGGCCUAAUAUGGUUAGCGCGUUUGGACUCCGGAUCGAGCGGUCCUGGUUCGAGCCCUGGCCUGGCUU